GACGAACGCUGGCGGCGUGCUUAACACAUGCAAGUCGAACGGAAAGGCCUGUCCUUCCUUGUGUUGGACGGGUGCUCGAGUGGCGAACGGGUGAGUAACACGUGAGUGAUCUGCCCCCAACUUGGGUAUAAGCCUGGGAAACUGGGUCUAAUUCCCGAUAGGACUGCAGGGUGGUGCCUGUGGUGGAAAACGAUUUUCUAGUGGUUGGGGAUGAGCUCGCGGCCUAUCAGCUUGUUGGUGGGGUAAUGGCCUACCAAGGCGGCGACGGGUAGCCGGCCUGGGAGGGUGGACGGCCACAUUGGGACUGAGAUACGGCCCAGACUCCUACGGGAGGCAGCAGUGGGGAGUAUUGCACGAUGGGCGGAAGCCUGAUGCAGCGACGCCGCGUGGGGGAUGACGGCCUUCGGGUUGUAAACUCCUUUCGACCGCGAGGAAGCCGCCUGGUUGGAAGGGUGGUGACGGUAGUGGUAGAAGAAACACCGGCUAACUACGUG
rnacentral:rRNA from 1 species